GUUGCUGUGGUCUAGUGGUUAGGAUACUGUUUUGUGUCCUCACUAACCCAGGUUCGAGUCCUGGCAGCGACA
rfam:Trichobilharzia regenti genome assembly, scaffold: TRE_scaffold0002866